GUAUGUGCCUGUCCCAAGUCAGGAGCCUGUAAUUCAGUGGUUGUCGUUUGUUUAUGUGUUACAUAUUUGUUUUUCAUUCAUUUUUUACAUAAAUAAGGCCGUUAGUUUUCUCGUUUGAAUUGUUUUACAUUGUCUUAUCGGGGCCUUUUAUAGCUAGCUGACUAUGCGGUAUGGGCUUUGCUCAUUGUUGAAGGCCGUACGGUGACCUGUAGUUGUUAAUGUCUGUGUCAUUUUGGUCUUUUGUGGAUAGUUG
rnacentral:lncRNA from 1 species